UGAUGUAUGAUACAGGAGUGCUAUCCAGGCUUUUCCAUCUUUUUUUCCAGAUACAUUUUCUUGUAGGUUUGAAACAUCUGUUUGGAGUCUUUGAUUGGAAUGUGAAGAGCCUGUUCAUCUCCUUCCAGUAUUUGUAUGGCUGUAUCAAGUGGAAUACAGUCCUCAGCUGUAAAGAUCUCCUUCAACUUUUUUUGCUUCACUGAAUCAUACUUUAACCAAUCUUCUUUUUUACUCUUG
rnacentral:lncRNA from 1 species